UACGAAGGGGGCUAGCGUUGUUCGGAAUCACUGGGCGUAAAGGGCGCGUAGGCGGCUUUAUAAGUCGGGGGUGAAGCCUGUGGCUCAACCACAGAAUUGCCUUCGAUACUGCGGGUCUCGAGUCCGGGAGAGGUGAGUGGAAUUCCUAGUGUAGAGGUGAAAUUCGUAGAUAUUCGCAAGAACACCAGUGGCGAAGGCGGACUCACUGGCCCGGAACUGACGCUGAGGUGCGAAAGCGAUGGGGAG
rnacentral:rRNA from 1 species